rnacentral:lncRNA from 1 species
UUGGCUCCGCGUGGAACCGCGAGGGCGCAGUUGCGAGAGUAGUGGUCGCGCAACUAUCGCCUACACGCGCUCACAUCCAUUCGGGCGGCCGACGUGUGUAGACAGCAUGGUUCUGUACGCGGUCCUGAUUUUCGUGCCCGUUGCCACGAUCGGCUUCUUCACGUACAAGCUCAUCCAGAGCUUGCGUGACAAAGAGAAGAGGAAAGAGGACAAGAAGAAGCAGAAGCAGCAAAAGAAGAAGGCCAAGUGAGAGGACAAGGACGCUUGCCCGACUUUCACACGCUGCCCCCCGUGCAAAGCAGGGCCUAACAUAUCACCACUCACGGAUGGGGGGUAGGGGCGAACGGCAAUCUUCCAAAACGUCCUCUCUACCACCGCCGCGUCGACGAUGCUUCGAAACGGCGGCAGGGUCCCUCUCGGAGUUGACUCUCGACAAUCCGGGCACCACCAAAGCCAUUCUCUGUUGUUUCCUCGUGUACAUUCCAUUGGAUGAAGGCUCUUUCUUCCUCACUUCAGAAAGAAAAAAAAAGACUCAUGCCCGGCCGAUGCAAAUGUUCUAGGUGUUUUUAACCAUUUUUCCAUGUAUAUUUACAAAACAGAGAGGGUAGAAGAUUCUGGGUUAUAGGAAAACUGUCAUAUUUAUUGUAUUUACAGAAUAAAAAAAAAAGACAGUUCUUGUCACAACC